rnacentral:rRNA from 1 species
CGGGCUUGAGGACAGCAGGGGAGGAGGAAUUCCCGGUGGAGCGGUAAAAUGCGUAGAUAUCGGGAAGAACACCAAUGGCGAAGGCGACCUCCUGGGCUGUUCCUGACGCUGAGGCGCGAAAGCGUGGGGAUCAAACAGGAUUAGAUACCCUGGUAGUCCACGCCGCAACCGGUGGACACUAGGUAUGGGGGGUAUCGACCCUCUCCGUGCCGUAGUUAACGCGUUAAGUGUCCCGCCUGGGGAUUACGGCCGCAAGGCUAAAAUUCAAAGGAAUUGACGGGGGCCCGCACAAGCAGCGGAGCGUGUGGUUUAAUUCGAUGAUACGCGAAGAACCUUACCAGGGCAUGACAUGCUUGGGAAUCCCCCUGAAAGGGGGGAGUGCCUUCGGGAGCCCUUGCACAGGUGCUGCAUGGUUGUCGUCAGCUCGUGUCGUGAGAUGUUGGGUUAAGUCCCGCAACGAGCGCAACCCUCGUCCUGUGUUGCUCUCUCACAGGAGACUGCCCCGCAAAACGGGGAGGAAGGUGGGGAUGACGUCAAGUCAGCAUGGCCCUUAAGCCCUGGGCAACACACACGCUACAAUGGGCGGUACAGAGGGAAGCUAAGGAGCAAUCCGGAGCUAAUCCCACAAACCCGUCCUCAGUUCGGAUUGGAGGCUGCAACUCGCCUCCAUGAAGUCGGAGUUGCUAG